CAGAGCGCGCGCGGGGUCACCGGGCCCAGGUGCUCCCCAGACGCACCCCGUAGGUUGGAUGCGGGGAGAGACGGAGGACUGAGCUUAGCCCUGGGGAAGCUGUCCUAGAAGGCCCGUGAGAACAGCUGGUACCUGCUUUAGCGUUAGUGUCGCUGGAGCAGGGACCUCUGGAGGAACUUUUGAAAGAUCUCCUUGGAUGUUUGCCGUCAGAGGAGACAGGAUAAGAUAAACAACCAGAAGUUAGAGCAGACAAAACUGGAGUUUGGAUGAAGAAAGAGAAGUAAGGCAGAUAUAAAGACCGAGUAGCAGAUCCAAUCCUACCCCAUAAACGGCUUUGGACAUGAAAUCUGAGUGGAAGAGACUGUCAUCUUGGAACAGAAUCUUUACGAGCCAUUGUUUCCACCAACUUGCCAUUUCUCCAUUGCCACGAGGCCCUCAACUCACCCUCCGUGGACAUGGAAACAAGCCUUAACCUGACCUGCAGAGACCAUGCUUCCCUGGAACAGAACUGCCCUGUGGACGGACAUCUUUCACUCGGUGACUGAUCUUCCUGUUGGGAGGAGGGCACUGCCAAGAGCAUCCACAUUAAAAGAUGGUGAUGAGUGCAGUGAGAUGAAGCAGGCAACUUGCAAAUACAACAGAAAACCAUUUCAUCAACAAAGCUAUAAUCUCGGACCCAUCUUUGAAAAGAUCUAGGUGAGUAACAUGCAACAAGCGAGUAAUCCGACAUGUAGCAGCAAUAUGAGCAGCACACAAGGGCUCAGCAAUUUCCCAUCAGUUACUCAUGAAUCAAAGGAACUGCGUUCUGCCAAACUUCACCGAACCUUGUGGUAGACAACAGACUAAGGAACACCAUGCUGGUGCCUGUGCAGCAGAAAUGGCAAUCCGGAGCCAGUAAGUGGUUCAGUGCUGAGCUCAAUGGAAAAGCGAUACUGCCAUCAUUUCAGGGCUCUCAAGUACCCGAUGGAGACGACUUACUUCAGCUUGGCUGCCUGGGUGGGCUCUAAUAUGAGACGAAGCUGUUCACACAGCUGUUGUGAAAGAGGUGCAGUUAAGAUCAGGUAGCUAUGCCACAUUUCAGCUGCAGCCUUUUCCUGUGACAACAGCAAGAACAUGUUCAUGUGGCUGCCACCUUUCCAGCUGUCUCUCCAGCUCCUGUCUUAGCUCAUCGACAUCUUUUAAAAAGGGCUAAGAAGAAGAAAAACCACAAAUGAGAGGCAGCCCAGGCUCCUUACACAGGAUGGUGGAUGUGAGAAGAGAUGUGACAGCUGGAGGCCCAAGGACCAGAUCCACCAUCACCCCAGGUCAGGGCACAGACCACCCGCUGUGACCCUGGGACUAACCAUUAGAACAGUGUUUUAUCUGCUUAGAGAACACUUGUCAUACCAACAGUGAUCCUAAGAAAUUUGGUAAGGAUAUGAUACCCCAAAACAAACAAGUAUUCCAUAAAGUUCUAAAGACAAUGACUGAAAAGGAAUUUAUAAUUACAUUUUGUCAACUUAGGAAAAAAAUGGAAAGAUUUUUUUUUCCCCCCACCCUAAUCACCCCACCCCUACUUGUGAAAGUUUUAGUACCUGGAAA